rnacentral:rRNA from 1 species
UACAGAGGGUGCGAGCGUUAAUCGGAUUUACUGGGCGUAAAGCGUGUGUAGGUGGUUGGAAAAGUCGAUUGUGAAAUCCCCGGGCUCAACCUGGGAACUGCUUUCGAUACUGUCUGACUAGAAUUCGGUAGAGGGAGGCGGAACUCCAGGUGUAGCGGUGAAAUGCGUAGAUAUCUGGAAGAACACCAAUGGCGAAGGCAACCUCCUGGGCCUGAAUUGACACUGAGACACGAAAGCGUGGGGAUCAAACAGG